GGGCAAUCAACUUACAUAUGACCAUACAACCAUUAACCUGGCACAUCUCCUUCCACCAAGAUUACCUCUAAAAUCCCCUUGGAUCUUGGUCUGCCUUAUAAUUUAAAGAGAAAAUAGGCUGAUCUUUUUUAUUUUUUUUUUAGCUGUAAAUCUUGACUCUUGCAUUUCAAGGCCAAUAAGGCACACUUACAAAUUGGGUCUAGUUACAACACAUUAAAAGAGAAAUUAGAGACCCAUAAAUCAAGCCUACAAUAAAACAAGCCCAAACCAUGGUAGCCCACCCCCAAUCUAAGAACCCUAAACAAAC
rnacentral:misc_RNA from 1 species